GGCAAAGUUAGAAUUUAAUUUACAUUCAUUCCUACUUUGGUAAAAGGGACAUGCAUCACUUUGAGACAAUUGUAUUAUUCAAAAACGUUAUCUUUGAAUGAGACGGUUGCCUCACAUUGCAGGCUAUAAAAAAGCAGGUAAAUGAUUUCUAAUCUAAUCUAAUCUGGGUCUAAUUGAUCUUGAACUUUUCUGGGGGGUUUACAAUCUGGGGAUUUAUAUGAUCGGGGUUCCUAG